rnacentral:rRNA from 1 species
UACGAAGGGUGCAAACGUUGCUCGGAUUCAUUGGGCGUAAAGCGCGCGCAGGCGGCCCGGUAAGUCGGAUGUGAAAUCCCACGGCUCAACCGUGGAACUGCAUUCGAUACUGUCGGGCUAGAGGCAGGUAGGGGAGAGUCGGAAUUCCUGGUGUAGCGGUGAAAUGCGCAGAUAUCAGGAGGAACACCGGUGGCGAAGGCGGAUCUCUGGGCCUGUCCUGACGCUCAGGCGCGAAAGCUAGGGGAGCGAACAGG